UACGUAGGGGGCAAGCGUUGUCCGGAUUUAUUGGGCGUAAAGAGCGUGUAGGCGGCUUUGCAAGCCGGAUGUGAAAGCCCACGGCUCAACCGUGGAAGUGCAUCCGAAACUGCAUGGCUGGAGUCUCGGAGAGGAAGGUGGAAUGCUUGGUGUAGAGGUGAAAUUCGUAGAUAUCAAGCAGAACACCUGCGGCGAAGGCGGCCUUCUGGACGAUGACUGACGCUGAGACGCGAAAGCGUGGGGAGCAAACAGG
rnacentral:rRNA from 1 species